GCCAGAGUAAAGAAAAGAUGGUCUGGGUUGGAAGGGACAUGCUGUUACAGCAUCAGGACCAGGAGGAGUCUAGAAGACGUGGUGGAGGAACUAGUGGAUUUAAACACACCUUCCUGGGAGAAAGGAGAUGGGGCUGACAAGACGCAGAAAAAUGUUGCUGGGAUUGACACUCACCAAGGAGCUGUACCGUACCUGUCACCAAAGCCAUCCAAGAUGCAGAGAUAGCUGACACUCACAUGUCAUCGGCAGCCCCAGUGCAUUAGAUACCCUAUAGAGAAAUGGUGCAGUGAUCUGUGUUGCUGAUCACCUGUCGUCUUUGUAUUGACUCUACUGACGUGAAUAAGACUUGAAAUGUGAAUGUGAAUCAACUCUGAAUUAAAUCCCAAUCAAAUCUGGAUCUGGAUCCAGGGAAGUUUUAUGAGUCAUUGUUUCAGUGGAUUGUGUGGAAUUUCCUUUCCAUUGGAGACUGACAUGUAAUCUUUCACUAUUUACUGUGAGGAUACAAAUUGUGUUUGCAG
rnacentral:lncRNA from 1 species